GACGAACGCUGGCGGCGUGCUUAACACAUGCAAGUCGAACGGAAAGGCCCUGCUUUUGUGGGGUGCUCGAGUAGCGAACGGGUGAGUAACACGUGAGUAACCUGCCCUUGACUUUGGGAUAACUUCAGGAAACUGGGGCUAAUACCGGCUAGGAGCUCCUGCUGCAUGGUGGGGUUUGGAAAGUUUCGGCGGUUGGGGAUGGACUCGCGGCUUAUCAGCUUGUUGGUGGGGUAGUUGCUUACCAAGGCUUUGACGGGUAGCCGGCCUGAGAGGGUGACCGGCCACAUUGGGACUGAGGUACGGCCCAGACCCCUACGGGAGGCAGCAGUGGGGAAUAUUGCACAAUGGGCGGAAGCCUGAUGCAGCACCGCCGCGUGCGGGAUGACGGCCUUCGGGUUGUAAACCGCUUUCGCCUGUGACGAAGCGUGAGUGACGGUAAUGGGUAAAGAAGCACCGGCUAACUACGUG
rnacentral:rRNA from 1 species